rnacentral:rRNA from 1 species
UUAAAUUGAAGAGUUUGAUCAUGGCUCAGAUUGAACGCUGGCGGCAGGCCUAACACAUGCAAGUCGAACGGUAACAGGAAGCAGCUUGCUGCUUUGCUGACGAGUGGCGGACGGGUGAGUAAUGUCUGGGAAACUGCCUGAUGGAGGGGGAUAACUACUGGAAACGGUGGCUAAUACCGCAUAACGUCGCAAGACCAAAGAGGGGGACCUUCGGGCCUCUUGCCAUCAGAUGUGCCCAGAUGGGAUUA